CUACCCUAGCACGCGAAACGUCUGCCGCUCUGGCAUGUUUUUUAGGUUUUCUGUCUUUUGUCUUCUUGUUGGAUAGGCUGAGUUACGGCGGCUACUUCGCUCUUUAGUUCUUUUGAAUCAUCACGUGGAUCUCUGGUCUUCUACUUUCUUCUGCAACAAAUGGAAACUAGGUUAGCAGGGUUAACAUUAAAUGAAGAUGAAGAAGUAGUCUUACAAAUUCAGGAUGAGUCGCUCUCAGGUGAAGAGAAGGAAGUUUUUAGGUUAGUAGGUUGUUUCUUAACAGCUAGUGUCAUUCACUUCCUAGCAAUGAAAAGUACUAUGGCCAAUCUUUGGCAUCCCGUGCGGGGUGUUCAAAUUCGGGAUCUAGGAGAUAAGCAUUUCUUGUUCCAAUUUUAUCAUGUUAUGGAUAUGGAAAGGGUCUUGAAAGGGGCACCUCGGACUUUUAAUAAUCACCUAUUGAUGCUACAUAAGUUACAAUGGGAGGAGGAUCCUUUACAAGUGCCUUUAUUUUUUACGCCUUUUUGGGUGCAGAUUUAUGAUGUCCCUAUUGGACUAUUUUCUAAAAAUCUGGCAGUGCAGUUGGGUAAUUUUGUGGGGAGUUUCCUUGAGUAUAAUGAAUCGAAUUUGGGGAAAGAAAAUAGAAACUAUAUGCGAGUAAGAGUCCAGAUUGAUGUUAGACGACCAUUGAAAAAGAAAAAAUAAAUUAUGUAUCGAGGAAGUUGCACAUUUGUGAAAUUCAAAUAUGAAAGAUUAUCUCUAUUUUGUUUUUACUGUGGACGUUUGGGGCAUAGUGACUCAUAUUGUGAAGGAAAGAUGGCAUUGGGUGUGGAAGUUGCUGAGAUGGGAUGAGAUUUAUCACUGAGAGCUCAAUCUAGGAGGGUUCUAUCCAUGAACAGUGUUUGGUUGAGGGAAAAGGGUGAAGAGCGAACAAAAGUGAAUAAGGAUGGUAAUCAUAUGAAAGGAAUUUUUUCAUGGGCAGCAGGAAAUAAAAGUCAUGGGUGUGGGCGGUCCAUUGAUCCAAUUUUGGGAAUUAGUCUAGAAAGUAAUACGCCAUUCCUAAAUUCGCAUGGAGAAAAGCUAAUAACUAUUCCAGUGCUCACUGAAAUGGAACAUGAUUUGGAAGAAGGGAUAAUUAUUGGGGAGGAAGGAAAUAAGAGAGCUAGAGGUGAGCUAGGGGUACCAAUAGAGCAGGGGGAGAUCAAUAUUCCAGCAGUAAGAAACCGGAGAGUAAGAGAGGUCAACCAUUUAUUAUCAGCGGCUGCCAAGAAGCAAGCCGACCGAAUGCAAUGAAAAUCUUAAGUUGGAAUGUUCGUGGGUUAGGGAGCCCACGGACUAUACGUAGACUUCGGCAUAUGUUGAAGAUACAAAAUCCCCAAAUAGUCCUUUUUAUGUAGACAAAAUUAUGCAAGAGUCAAAUGGAGAGAGUUCGUUAUCGGUGCGGUUAUAUACAUGGGAUUGAAGUUGAUCCGGAGGGUACUAAAGGAGGGUUAUGUUUGGCAUGGAGAAACGAGAUUAGUGUCACACUUCACAGUUUUUCCAAAAGACAUGUUGAUGUUAUGAUAGAUGACAGUGAAGUAAGAGGAAAAUAGUGAUUUACGGGUUUCUAUGGAUCCCCUUAUACACAAGAUCGAGCUGAUUCUUGGGCUGUUUUGAGGAAUUUAUUUACUAGCGAGCAAAUCCCUUGGUUGGUAUGUGGGGAUUUCAAUGAAAUCAUGUACGGUUUUGAAAAGAAAGGAGAGCUUCCGCGAGAUGAAAGGAGAAUGGAAACUUUUCAUAGUACAUUGACGGAUUGUCAGUUGAUGGAUGUAGGAUAUUCAGGCAAUUGAUUCACAUGGGAAAGGGGAAAUUUACCUGAAACAAAUAUCCAAGAACGUUUAAAUAGAGGAGUUGCAAAUGGAGAAUGGAUGAAUCUGUUUAGGGAGGCUAAGAUCUCUCAUCUUGUUCACUCUUUUUCUGAUCAUUGCCCCCUUUUAAUUAAUACGGGGAAAGUUGACAAAUUGUUGAAUAAGAAAUUGUUUAAGUUUGAAGCCUGGUGGAUUAUGGAGGAUUUCUUUGAACAAAAGGUCAAAAAUAUUUGGGAGUCGUCUUCAGGAAAUUUGCUGGAAAAACUAGAUACGUUAAAAGAAGGCUUGGUCAGGUGGGCGGGGAAAAUUCGAAUUGCUAGAAGGGGAUGCAAGGAUUUGCUUAUUGCAAGGCUAUCAGAAUUGGCAGAGGCUGAUCGAGACGAUGUUAACUUGGCAGAGACAAUUGACGUGAAGAUUCAACUGAACUUAGAAAUUGAUAAAGAUGAACGUUAUUGGGAGCAGAGAGCCCGUGUAAACUGGUUAAAAUUCGGUGAUAGAAACACAACAUUUUUUCAUAGCCAUGCCUCGCAGCGACGUAGAAGAAACUAAUUCAAAAAUUGAAAGAUGUUGAAGGGAAUGAAAAUGAAGCAAUUUAGGAAAUGGAAAGGAUAGCACGGUCAUAUUUCCAAAAUCUUUUUACAUCAGAAGCAAGAGGAAGAGAUCAUCAUGUGUUGUCAGGAAUAGAUAAAUGCAUUACAGAGGAGGAUAACCAAAAGCUUACAGCUCCGCACUUACCAGAAGAGAUCCGAGAAGUAGUGUUUGCGAUGAGACCCACAAAAGCCCCAGGGGAGGAUGGUUUUCCGACUUUAUUUUACCAAAAGUGCUGGUACGUUGUUGGAAAUGAAGUAAUUAUUUUUUGUCUACAGCUUCUUAAUGAAGGUAAGGAGAUCAAACAUAUUAAUCAUACUCAUAUAGUACUCAUUCCAAAAGUAGCCAGUCUGUUUGAUAUGAAACAAUUUAGGUAGAUGAAUUUGUGCAAUGUGAUUUAUAAAAUUGUUGCAAAAGCUAUUGCUAACCGGCUCAGGAGAGUAAUUGAGAAAUGCAUUGAUUUGGCCCAAAGUGCUUUCGUACCAGAAAUAUUUAUAUCAGACAAUAUACUAUUGGCUUACGAAAUUCUUCAUACGCUUAACAUGAAGAGGUAGGGGAAAAAUGCUUUAUGGCUACGAAGCUUGACAUGAGCAAGACCUAUAAUAGAGUUGAAUGGAACUUCAUCAACAAUAUAAUGAUCAAAAUGGGGUUUAAUAGAAACUGGGUUGAUACUAUUAUGAAGUGCUUAACUUCUGUAUCUUAUUCAGUUGUGGUGAAUGGAUACGUAGGAGACAGAUUCCAACCAGAACGAGGACUUCGCCAAAGAGAUCUAUUGAGUCCGUUUCUCUUCCUCAUAUGUGGCAAAGGCUUAUCUAGUUUAAUACGUCUUGCAGCUAAAGAUGAGGCAUUAAAAUGUGUUAAAGUUAGCAGAAGUGGUCCGCAGAUUUCGCACUUGCUAUUUGCAGAUGAUUGUAUUUUGUUUAGUGAGGCGACUAGCAGAGGGGCCAGUAUACUGUAGGAAAUUUUAAGGGAAUAUAGGGGUUGCUCGGGUCAAUGUGUCAAUUUUGAUAAAUCUACGGUGUUCUUUAGUAAAAACACAACAGAGGAGGACAAGGGAGCGGUUGUACAAAUAUUAGGGGUCUGGAGCUCAAAUGAUCCAGAGCGUUAUCUCAGGUUGCUUAAUAUGGUAGGAAGGAAGAAGAGGGAGUCGUUCUAGAAUCUGAAGGACCGGAUAAAGAAGAAAAUUGACAAUUAGAGUCGUUCCAGAAUCUAAAGGAUCGGAUAAAUAAGAAAAUUGACAAUUGGAGUACUAGGCACCUAUCUCAAGGGAGAAAGGAAGUAUUUAUCAAGGCUGCUCUCCAAGCCAUACCUAAUUUUUCAAUGGCGUGUUUUUUAUUACCGAAAUCGUUAUAUUUGGAAUUAGAAAACAUCAUAGCUACUUUAUGGUGGCAAAAAAGUCCUUGCAAAAGAGGAAUUCAUUGGAGUGCGUGGAGAAACUUGUGUUUUUUAAACGAGAGAGGUCUUGGAUUUCAAAAUCUUUGCCAAUUUAAUAUAGCGCUAAUAGCUAAACAAGGUUGGCGACUUCUUUUUUAUCCCCAUUCAUUAUUAGCAAGGGUCUUCAAAGCCAAAUAUUAUCCGUAUUCAGAUUUUGUAAAUGAUAGAUUAGGUGAUCUUCCUUCAUUUACUUGGAAAAGUGUCUGGGCUACUAAGCGGUUGUUACAGGACGGGCUGUGUUGGAGAGUUGGUCAUGGAACCAGAAUAUCUGUAUGGGAUGAUUGCUGGAUUCCGGGAGUUGAUCCAAGAAGAUGGGAUACCAGAAAUGAUAAUGAUGUCAAGUUAGUGGCGAAUUUAAUUGAAGAUAUAAACAGAAUAUAGAAGACCAAAUUAAUUAAUAAUACCUUUCCAGCAGAUGUUGCUCAAAAAAUUCUGCGGAUACCCCUGGCGAAAACUCCUCAUGAGGAUUUUCAAGCAUGGAAAGGAGAGCAAUCUGGUGAAUUUUCAGUAAGAAGCGCCUACAAACUAUUACAAGAUGCCCAAUUGGAUCCUAAAGCUAAUUUAAUACAGACCGAUAUAAAGGAUUUCUACAAUAAGCUAUGGAAUCUACAGCUGCCUAACAAGAUUGUAAUAACAACAUGGAGAAUAUCUUGGAACUACAUCUCAACUCUAGCUAAUCUAAAAUAUAAACGGGUGACUAAUAACGUGACAUGUCCUCGCUGUGGAAGGGAGGAAGAAGAUAUCACCCAUAUCUUUCGGUAUUGUUUUGUGGCAAUCAAACAUGGCAAUUGUUAGACCAGGUGUGGAUCAGUGAAAGUAUGACUCAAGGAUUCUAGGAGUGGCUUACCUGGAUAUUUAGAUUGAGUACUUCUGAAUAGUGCAAGAUCUUUUGUUGUGGCUUGUGGUUUAUUUGGAGCUCAAGGAAUAAAUUCAUAAUGAACAGAAAGCAGAGACAGGAAGGGAGUUAUCUCUCAAAGUUUGAAAGUACAUAGCUGAACUUGAAGGGUUGAGGAUGAGGGAAAGUACCUUAAACACAAGUAGUAGUCACAAGCAUCGAGAAGGUUACACUAGAAUGACGAUCCAGUUUGAUGCAGCCUUUGAUAACAGGAACUUUAAGUCAGCAUUUGGUCUUGUGGUUUGGGGCGAAAGAGGAAGACUCAUGGCGAAGAAGACUGUUCUAUACAGGAAUGUUCAGUCACCAUUUGCUGCUGAAGCCCUGGCAGGUUUACAGGUGAUACAACUAGGAUGUGAAAUGGAUUGUCCCUUAGUGACGGUUAUAGGGGACUCUCGAACAAUCAUCAAGAAGUGCCAAGAAAUGAAGAGAGAUAAAUCAGUCACAUGAGCGAUUAUUAACGACAUUCAUAGUAAGAUGACUAGAUUUGAAGACCUUAGAUUCCAAUUUAUACACAGAACAGAGAAUAUUUUUGCUCAUAAGAUUGCAGAAGAAGCGCUAAAGAAGGAAGAAGAAACAUACCUGAUUAAAAGGAGAGGCGGUUCUCCGAAAGGGUGGUGGAGAAAAGAUCUAGAUUGAAGAGCCUAAUGGAAGAAGGAAAUGAUGUGGGUAGCAGGAAAUGCAGCUAUGAAACGGCUACCAAAAUGAACAGAUGGGACAGACGAUGGGACAAGACUAUGGAAAUAGAGUCUAGCUGUUAUUGUGUCGAUUAGCAUUAAUGAGUUAGGUUUUCUUUUUUGCAGUAAUUAGUUUUUGGCGUUUUUUCCAAAGUUGAUUUUAAAUUCGUAUUUGAUUUUUAUAGUUAGCAGGCUGAAGAUGUGUUUUCAGUCUGAUAAGUCUAAGCCCAGAUUGUGACCCAAUGUGGGUUUUUCUUCUAAUUAAUAAAAGCUAAUCGACUUUCUUCAAAAAAAAUUUAAAAUUUUAAUAUUGAAAAAAAUGUAGAACUUUAGGUAACGGGGUAAACAAGUACAAUUUGAAAUUUUUUUAAUACAUUAUUUUAGUUACUGUUGUUUUCUACUUUAAUCCUUAAUAUUUUUUUACCUCGAUCAAUACUUAAAAAAUAAUAUUUAUUGAGUGGUCUAAAUGAAAAAAGACCUAGAAAUUGAGUGACUAAAAUAAAAAUAUAACAUGAUGUGGCAUAUACAAUUAUCUGUCAUUAGAGAUUUAACGCUUAUGUGAUUAAAUUGAAAAUGCCUUAAAAUUUGAGUAACAAAAUUACAAGAAUUUCAUCUUAAAUAACUAAAAUAAAAACAUCCAAAAAUUGAGUUACUAACUAAAUAAUAUACCUUAUAAAUAAAUAUAUUUUCAUCCAUAUCCAAGAUAACAUCUUUUCACUAAAACUAUCAACAUUAGAAAACUCAAAUAUUUACUUUGGAAUUUGGAUCAUAGCCUACUAUUUUUAAAGAAAAUAAUGUUUGUUUAAUAAAUAUCUAAUUAUGGAUAUAGAGGUAUUACAUUUUUUUUUGAAACUAAAAUUCAGAUUGGGCUUUAUUGAAGAAACUUAAUAAGUACAAUGUAUAAAAAUAAAGAAGCAAACAAAAAAUAAAUGAGCCCAGCUAUAGAACUUAACCCAAAAACAAUAGUAACGUGAAAACAGAAACCAAGUGCAAAAACCAGAAAAAGGCCUAAAAAUAAGAUUCUAGCUUGUGAAAAAAUCAAAAAAACAAUCAGAUCUCUUUAGAAGCGUAUUAAUUACGCCUUUUACUUGUCCAAUCAGAAAUGAACGGUUGCGUCUUGUCCCCUAAUCUGACAUUUCUUUCUCAAGACUCUUCCAUAUUCCCAAGAGGAGCGUUUGCCAUCAAAUCUGUGGGUAUCCCGCUUCAAAACUCCCAUUUUUCACUUACUUCCUUCCAUUUUCAAUCUGUUUCUCUCACUCUAUCCCUCUCCGCUUACUUCUCUACCGAAUCUGGAACGCUUCCUACCAGGUAAACUUCUUCAUUAUUCUUCAGCAUUUCAUUUGCUAAAUAAUGCACUAAACUGUUUGCUAAUCGUGGGAUGUUUUCAAAUAUGCACUCCUUAAACUUUAACAAAAGCUGAUGAGUAUCAUGAAUAUAAGCACCUACCAAGGACUUAUCUGGUCUUUUCUCUCUGCACUUUUUUAUUAUUGACAAGGAAUCUCCCUCAAUAAUGAUUUUCACCAUUGUAUGUCAAUACCUAUCUGGGUCGCUACCCGACACGCAAGUGCCUGAGUAGCCAAGGCAGAAACAACUCGUUGCUGGAUCACCGAACACGAUAAGAGAACACCUCCUUCACUAUUUCUUGCCACAACUAUUGUUACCGAUUGACAAGUUCUCGCUUCAUAUGUUGCAUCAAAAUUAAUUUUCACAACUUGUUCAGGUGGGCGCCUUCAUUUACAAGUAGCAAAAGAGUUUUUUGGGUUUCUUUUAUCAUUCUCGUCUAUUUCUGAUAUAUAGCUGUCGACAAAACUUACUAUUUCUUUUCUAGAUUUGCUAGCCUUCUUAUGCACUCUAGCGUUCCUGUCUCCCCAAAUGGCCCAUAAUACACAGCAAAAAAGUCUACACUGAGAUAGCGAACUUUGCGAAAAGACCCAGGUUAGCCAUUGUAUAAACCCCAAAUGGGUAUCUUGUAUAUAAAAUUGGCUUGAUAGCUCUCUCCAAACUGAAAUUGAAACAGGGCAUGCACGAAAAAGAUGGUCCAUAUUCUCUGAUCCACUUCCACACUGAGGGCAUAUAGAUGUGUUCGUUAACUUUCUUUGUAACAUGUUAACUCGUGUAGGUAGAUAGUUCCACAAUAUUUUUCAGACUAUAAUUUUUACUUUAGAAGGUAGAUUGAGUAGCUAUAGUUUUUUUAUAGAAUUCUUUACAAUCGGCCUGUAAAGCGUAAGCUGUAGGAUCUCCUUCGAUGCUUUGUAAUAGUUUAUAGGCGCUGCGUACUGUGGCCCGACGCCUCACCACUCCAAACUCGAAAAUCAUCGUGGGGAUCCUCUGCCAACGGGAUACAGAGAAUCUUCUCAGCUACUUCCUCCGAAAAGGUAAGACUCUAUCAGCUCUUUAUUCCAUAUUCUGUUGCUUGGUUCAAUUAACUCAGCAACUUUAAAACCGUUCAAAUUAUUAAUUAGAGACGACAAUCUGGUAUUUUUUCACCUGGCAUCCAAAAUUCAUUAAGAGCAGAAAUGUUCGUACCCCUACCUACAUUCCAACAUAAUCCCUCUUCUAAAAUACCUCUUGUAGCCCAAAUACUCUUCCAUGUAUACGAACUGUUAUUCCCCGGCCGCGAAUCUAAAAAACUCACAUUUGGAAAAUAUUUGGCUUUUAAAACUUUAGCAACUAAAGAAUUUGGAUUAUUUAAAAUUCGCCACCCAUUCUUAGCUAGAAGUGCUACAUUAAAUUGAGCCAUGCUCUUAAAACCCAAACCACCCUCAUCCUUAGACCGACACAUAUACUUCCACUGACACUAAUGAAUCCCUCAUUUCCCAUAUCCUUUUUGCCACCAAAAUUUCACAAAUGUUCUUUCUAGUCCUCGACAAAAAGAGUUUGGUAAAAGGAAACAAGACAUAGCAUAGAUUGGAAUAGCCUGAAGCAUCGACUUUAUAAAGACUUCCUUACCUCCUUGUGAUAAUAAUCUGGUACUCCACCCUUCAAUUUGAGUAUAAACCUUCUCUUUGAGAUACUGAAAAGACUCCUUCUGUCUGUCGACCACAUUAGGAAGACCUAAAUACUUUUCCAGGUUUGUUGAGCUUCGAACCCUAAAUAUUUUCAAGACUACUAUCUUCUGUUCUUCUGUAGUGUUCAAGCUGUAGAAGAUUGUUGAUUUAUCAAAAUUAACACAUUGGCCUGAACACUUUUCAUACUCUUUCAAAAUUCCUUUUAACACCAUUGCUCCGCUACCUGAUGCUUCAUCGAAUAAAAAACAAUCAUCUGCAAAGAGUAAAUGUGAAAUUUUUGGGCCUCUUUUACUAGCUUUUACUCUUCUUAGUAGCCCCUCCUUCACUGCCAGUUGUAUCAAAGAUGAUAGUCCCUCACUACAAAGUAGAAAAAGAAAAGGACUUAAAGGAUCGCAUUGCCUCAAACCCCUAGUCGAUUGAAAAAGUCUUCCCCUCCCUCUAUUUGUAUUAACUGCAUAAGUCGUCGUGGUAAUGUAUUUCAUAAUUAGCUCCACCCAUUCUUUUGCAAAACCCAUUCGUAGCAUAACUUGCUUAAGAAAACCCCAUUUAACCUUGCCAUAAGUUUUGCUCAUAUCCAGCUUCACAAUUAUGUAUCAUUUUUUCCUUGUACGCUUUUGUCGAAAAGUAUGUAGAAUUUCAUAAGCUAAAAGCACAUUAUCAGAAAUUAAUCUCCCUGGGAUAAAAGCACUUUGGGCCACAUCAAUGUAUCUUCCAAAAACUACUUGAAGCUGAUUUGCAAUUAUCUUCGCCACAACCUUGUAGAGAACUGAACAUAAACUAACUGGUCUAAAAUUAGCUAGCCUUGUUGGAUUAGAGGUUUUUGGGAUCUACACAAUAUCCCUUUGGUUGAAAGAGCCCUUUGGUUGAAAGAGCCGAAACUAUAAUCAUUAUUUAAAAUUUCCAAAAAAAAGUUUGACACAUCUUCACCUUUAAUGUGCUAAUAUCUCUGAAAGAAAAGUGUUGGAAAUCCAUCAGAUCUCGAUGCUUUGGUAGGUCUCACUCCUUUUAAAGCUGUAAACACUUCUUCUUCUGUAAAAUUUGAUAAUAAAACAGAAUUAAUAUCUGGAGAAAUUUUAUUUUCAAUACCCGAUAGGAGAUAAGAAAGAUCCCUAACUCCACUAGAUGUGAACAUCUUCUGGAAAAAUAAAGUAGCAACUUCAUUGAUCUUUCUUACUUCAAUAGCCUAUCCACCUCCAUCUAAUUCCAACUUAGAUAUAGUAUUGAUGCAUCUUUGAAAAGAGGCAAAUCUAUGAAAGAAAGUUGUAUUCUUGUCCCCUGCUUUCAACCAAUUUGUCAUUGCCCUUUGUUCCCAGUAAGUUUCAUCUUUAUCUAUUUCCAUAUUCAAAUGAAUCUUAGUAUCAAAAAUUUUUUCCAUUGUUUCAUCAAGUCUUCUCCUUCGCCAGUAGCAUCUCCAAUUCCUUCAUGGGCUUUUGCUUAAAUCCCUCUUGCCCUUUCUUAAUUAGUCUCGCCAAUACUAAUAAAUCUGCUUGUAAUCUUUUGAUUUUCUCCUCUAGUGAUCCUGUUGUUGUUCCCAUGAUGCUUUAACUUCUUUCUCAAGCGUCUCCUCCAUGAUCCAUCAUGCCUCAAACUUAAAUGUUGGACUUCCCACAUAAGCAUUAUAAUUUUUUGUGUUUAGAAGAAAUGGAAAAUGAUCAGACAUCGAAUGGGGUAGAUAUUGAAUGUUACCUGUUGGAAAAAGAAACCUUCAUUUAGCAUUUACAACUCCCUUAUCAAGUCUCUCUCUAAUAAUUAUCUCUAGAAAAUUUUUCCUUUCCCAAGUAAACAAGACCCUAAAAUAUCCCAAAUCUUUUAGUUGGCACUCUUCUAAAACCUCUCAAAAGACCUCCAUUCUUCUCUCCUCUCUUGGUAAACCCCCAUUUUUUUCAUAAGAAAACAUGAUCUCAUUAAAAUCACCACUUACUACCUAUGAAAGAUUCUGAUCUUGUCUAAGCUUCUUUAACAAAUUUCAUGAAGAAUUCUUUUGAGUACCAUAUGGUGAACCAUAGAACCCCGUGAAUCUCCACAUUUCACUAUCCUGUAUUUCUUUGACUGUUACAUCAAUGUGACUCCUAGAGUAACUUUUUAGUCAUACUUCAGUAUCUCAUUUCCUUGCAAGGCACACCCCACCACGCGAGCCCUCCACUUCAACAUCAAUUCCAUUCAAAAAACCACAACUCCUCCUAACUUUCUCCAAACGCGGCUUGUCAAGUUUUGUCUCUAUUAAGAAGACCAUAUGGGGAUUAUGAUGUUUUAGGUAAUAUCGCAGCCUUCUUAUAGCCCGUGGACUCCCUAACCCAUAGACGUUCUAACUUAUAAUUUUCAUUGUGUCUGGUCGGCAUGCCUCUUGGCAGCUGCCAAUCUUAAAAUUGUUGACGCAUCAAGUAACUCUGAAUUCUUUCAUCGUAUCUAUAAAACCAUCUUCACGAUCCUCUAAUCCUUCCUGUUUCAAACACUUAUUCCUAUCUUCAUAUGCAACCUUUGUGCCAUAGAAGUCAGUUUCUGCAUCUGGGGACUUCCUCUUCCUCGUGUUAUUUUUAGAUUUGUCUUGUCUUAUCGUGACCACUGGCUCAAUUCUUUUCCAUCUUUUUUUCCAAGGUUUAUAUUAUUGAUCUGCUGUUUCAUGCUAUCAUUCAAAUUCUCAUCUUCCUUGAUUAUCGGUCCCCUUGUUCCUCAAUUACCCCUCCAUUCCCAUCAGCCCCGUAUUCUCCUGUAACCCCCUAGUCUCGUUAUUCUCCUUUACCAAUACUUUUGUAAUAUUUACCAACAAAUAUGUACUUCCCAAAUAAGAACAUUGAACCCCCACCUUUUUUGAAAAACCAUUAAAUUCCAUACUUUCCUUUCUAAUUAAUUUUGAUUCUACUUUUAACGCCAACAUAUAUGAUGGAUCCUCACUAAUUUUACUAUUUUCUACAGGAAGUAUCUGACGACAAUCUUAAAACCCAUGCCCUAUUCUUCCACAUCCAAAACAAAACAUUGGUUACUUCUCGUACUUAAAAGAUACCCAUGAUUUAUUCAUAUUAUCAAUAGAGACAAAAACCUUGUUGAAGCGGUUUUUGCACAUCCAACUUAACCCUAAGAUGACAUGAAUCUUCAUUAAUUUUAGAUCGAAUAACCCCCCAAACGUGACACCGAUAGCAUGCAAUAGAUCUUUCUUAUUAAACUCUGGUAAGCAUGAAUCUAUUUUUAUCCAGAACAGUGAUAGUGUUAGCCGAUUUUGACUUCUAUCAAUCGGUUGGGUUGAUCUAUCGAACAAAAUAACACUUUUACGGAAUAGCCAUGGCCUUCCCUCCAGUAUUAUCUCUAGAUCUUCUUCCAAAUCGAACACUAUAAAAAAUAAAUUCUGCCCCACCAUCUGUAUUUCAAAUACUUUUCAUUUGUGCCCUAAAACUUUCUGGGUUAUAGAACUUCUCUGUCCAAAUAGUACAUCAAAAAGUAGGUUUUGUGCUUUGUACCACCAGCGAACUUUUGAUUGAUAGCUAAAUAAGUUCUUCUACGAGAAGAGAAAUCUCAUCCUUCCUCCUUCGAACGUCACCACCGCUUUCCUCCAUCCCAAGCUGCAGUAGAUAUUGCUUUCUCUAGGACUCUAGGCAAAGUACUCUUGAGACUCUUUAUCUCAUCUAUUUUUUUAAAAAAAUUUAAAAUCAAUUAAAAAAUAGAGGUAAUACAUUUUAAGGGUACUUUAAAUGUAUAAUAAAACAAUUUUUCAUUCUUAUAAAAAUAUUUGUGUUUAUUUAACAUAUAUAUAUAAAUAAAAGAAAUAAGGUAAGGUAGUAUCCUCUAAGAAAAAAAUUAAGAUAUAUAUAUACACACAUAUUAGUCUUAUGUUUCAUGUUAACUCAAGAGAUCUAGUUUGAUAACGUAACCUAUUUGUAGUUUGAUAACUCAAAAUUUAGGUCCUUCCAACAAAAUAACCAUCAUUUAUCGCCCAUAUAACCUAUAAUCUAAGUAAUGUCACAUUGCUCACUUAAUAUGGAUCUUGAAAAAAACUAAUUAACUUAUAACAAGGAGACACAUGUCCUUCGAGACUAAUCCAUAUAACUCCCUCACCCAAACACGACCAUAUUCACUCAUCCUACACAUAACAUCUCUAAUUUCCCACAAAUCUCUUCCAAAAAUACUAUUCACCACCAGUGGCGGAGUGUAGUGAAAACCCAAGGGGCCAUGGCCUCUCCAAAAUGGUAAAUUUUUAGUUUAGGCAUUUUAUAAUUUAUAAAAUUUUAAAUUAGUAAUGAAAAAUUUGUACUUUAACCCCCAAAAAAUGAUAAAAAUUUUAUUUAACCCUUUAAAAGUUAUGAAGAUAUAAACUAUUAAAAUGAUGAAAUUGUAUUUUUAUUAUCGUAAAAAUAUAUAAUUUAACUUCAACCCCCUCAAAAAAAUUUUCGAACUCCACCACUGAUCACCACCCAAACAAAUAAAUCAUCCUCAAUUUUACCAUGCUCUCCACUAAACCACAUCUUACUAUCCAUAAUAAUGUAAUAAGCCUAGAUAAAUCUAGGGGUGAGUAAAACUCGAUUGGACUUGAAAAUUUGAAUUUUGAGUUAAACGAAUCGAGUUAUUAAAGUCAACUCAAUUUUUUUUGAAUUUCGAGCUUGAAUCGAGUUUAAUUUCGGAUUUGAAUAAUUCAAAUAACUCGAAUAAACCGAAUACCAAACUAUAAUAUUUUACAUUUUUACCUCAAACCUCUAAACUUUUUACUUUCUUACUUUCCCCAAUACUUUUACUCUUUCUGUAACACCUCAUAAUCCUUUUCUGUUACCAGAAUAAGGUUACAGGGUAUUACUGGAUGUUUCAGAAUAAAUACGAAUAAUUAUAUAAUAAUGUAACAUAUAUAUCAUAAUUUAAUCAUAAUGUCCUAACCAAUGUACUAACAUAGGUAUUUUACAAAUACUUACUAACUCAAUUCAUAUAACUUCAUUCAAACCCAACCAAAUUUAAUACUAAAUAUCAAAAUUUUCAUAUAGUAACUUCAUUCAUACUUUAAUCAAAAUAUGUCAUUUUAUAACCUUAACACACAAUUUAUGUUUAAGUAUAUAAAGGGUUAAUACUAUUCUUUAACAUUUUAUACAACCAUUUUUCCAAAUGGCAUGCAUAUAACAACCUAGGUACAUGCCAGUACCAAAAAAAUGUACUUCACCAUAAUAAGUUCGAGAUUAGCUUUGGAUCCUGAUUCAACGAUCGAACUUUAACUUAUCCUGCGUACGAAAAAUAAAUCGUACGCUGAGUAUACACUCAGUGGUAUUUCUAUAAUCUGAAUACUUAUUAAAUAAGAAUUUUUAAUAUUUAUAUAUCUAAACAUGCAUAACAAAAAUCAUUCAACAAAUAAUCAAUUUCAUGACACAUCAUUUAUAACACUUUCAAUUCUCAUCUUCUACUAUUUUAAUCUCAUAAUUGAUAUUCAAAUAAUUUUUCUCAAUAGUAUACACAUAUCAUUUCACCCUAUCAAUAACCAUUUCAUGAACCCAUUGGUUCGUACAUUUCAAUUUCAUAACUUAAUUCAAUAUUUCAAUCCAAUUCAUGUUCAAAAUCAUCCAAUUUCAUUCAUAUUGUCAAUUUACUUAUUUACCCUUAUUAACAGGACUCGAACUUUGACCGAUACACGGAUCAAACCAAAACACACUAGUAUGACACCCAGUGUCUCAUCGGAUAAUUCGAAGUAAUAGAUUGACACCCAGUGUCUCAUCGGUCAUGCCAAAGUAAAUUGGUACCCAAUACCUCAUCGAAUUUAUCUGAAGCAAUAGUUUGGCACCCAGUAUCUCAUCGACUGGCGGUCGAAAUAAUCCCUGAACACUUUCAAUCCUAUGGCAUGCCAACUAUAUACGAAUCAGUCCAAUACAAAAUUCACAUAAAUCUCAAUUCAAUAUUUUCACAUUUCUUCAACAAGCAAUAAUUUCAUCAAUCACAAAUUCAUAUAAUCUCAUUUCAAUAUUAAGAUAAUAACAAACAACAUUCAACUUAAUUACUCACAAUACACAUUAAUUUAAAAUACAACAAAUAAAAAUUACUAAAUUUGAAUUAUAGAAAUACAAACCGUAAUUUCUAAGUUAUUCCUCGUUAACCUUCUUUUUUCCUUUCUUAGCCGAGGUCUCCGACUUAACAAUAGUUACGGAAUUUAAAACAAUUUUAAAAUCAUCAAUACAACAAAAUUUCACAUUAAAUAUUUCAAUUUAUAAACAAUUUUUGUCUAAAUUCCAAUUUUGUUCUUCAAUUAAAUCUAACCUUGUUUUCCCUACUAUUUUAUUCUUUAUUUUCAUUCAACUACCACUUAAAACUAAAUUUAACUCUCUAAUUUUCAUCAUAAAUCCCUAAUUUUAAUUUUUUUUCAAUUUAAUCCCUACCACUUAAAACUUAUGAUUUAUUAUACAAUUCAAUCAUUUUCUCAUUUCUAAGUUGAAAUUCUAUCAAUUUAACACCUAACUAUUCAAUUAAUUCAACAUGGACUACAUCUAAAAAUCCAUUAACUUUCAAAAUUUCAACAUAAAUCAAGUAGUAUUUUGUUCCUGGAUUCUAAAAACAUCAAAAUUACAAGAAAAUGAGCUAAAUUGACUUACCACUUAAGCUUGAAUCCUUAAAAUCCCUAAUUUUCCUUUUUCUUUUUCUUUCCCUUUUCUUCUCCCAUUUUUCGUUUCAAUUCUGUUUCUUUCUUUUAUUCUUUUUGUUUUGCUUUUAUUAUUUAGUUAUUAUUCUAAUAAUAUUAUAUACUUAAAUAUUAAGUACAUAUACAUUAGUAUUUUAUACAUAUGUACACUAUUUUUCCACAUGUAUUUUACACCUACCAUGCACUUGUAUUCACUUUUUAUUAUACAAGUGUUACAUAUGGUUUAUUUAUUCAUUUAAUCCUUCAAUUUUUCUUUAGUCUGUAUUUCAACUUUUACCCUUUAUUCAAUCUAGUCUUUACACGUAAUUACUCUUAAUUCAAGCUAAUUCACCUAGCCAAAACCUAAUUAACCACACAACUAUCUUUAUAAAUAUUUUUAAUAAAUAUUUACGAAUCCGUUUUACCAAAAUAGUGACCCAAAAAUGCACUUUUCUGAUACCUGUAAAUUUUGGGUUGUUACAUUUCUCCCCUUUAAUAAAUUUCGUCCUCAAAAUUUACCUGAAAAGAGGUGGAUGUACUAAGAUCUCAUAGUUUCUUCCGGUUUCCAAGUUGCUUCCUCAACACUAUGACUUUUCCAUAGUACUGUUACUAAUGGUACUCGUUUAUUAUGUAAGUUUUUCACUUCUCGAGCUAAUAUCUCAAUCGGCUUUUCUUCAUUUGACAAAUCGGGUAGAAUUUCAAUAUCUUCUCUUGAAGUAAUAUGAGAGGAAUCUAAUCUAUAUCUUCUGAGCAUAGAAACAUGAAAAACAUAAUGAAUCUUCUGUAAUUUCGGAAGCAAAGCUAAUCGGUAAGCAACUGGCCCAACUCUUUCUACAAUUUCAUACGGUCCAAUAAAAUUAGACUCAAUUUUCCUUUUUAACCAAAUCUCAGAAUUUUCUUCCAAGGCGAGACCUUAAGAAAUACCUAAUCACUAAUAGAAUACUCAAUGUCUCGACAUUUCAAAUCUGCAUACGAUUUCAUUCUGUUGAAAGCUUUCUUCAAUUUAUCUCGAAUACUCUUAAUAGUGUCCUCUGUUUCUUGAAUUAAAUCUGGCCCAAUCAUCUUUCUUUCAUUCAAUUCCAUCCAAAUUACAUGUAACAGCUCGAUUUUGGGGCUAAUCGGAAUUGUGGUUCUGAGACCACAAAUUUGAAGUUGAAAAAAAUUAUUUUAUUGUUAUUUUAAAGUCAUAGCAUGUUUAUAUUAGUGCAUGAAAAAUUUGAUGAGUUAAUUUUAACGUUUGUGAGCCCAAUUGUGAAAAAGAACUAAAUCGCAUAAAGUGCAAAAGUCUUAAAUUGAUAGCUAAGGGUGUUAAAUUGUUAAGAAUCUAAAUUUGGGGUCUUUAAAGGGCAAAAAGACCCUUAGAUUUUAGCUUGGCCAGCCAUGGGAGAUAAAAAUGUUGGAAAGUCAACAUUAGGUAAUUGGAUGACAUAAUGUGUAAUAAAAUAAUGCCUAAGCCCAACUAUCAUCUUUUCUUUCAUUCUUUCUUAAUUACCACCGAUUUUUCAGCCAUUCUUGGGGGCUUUGAGCUUCAAAAAUUUUAGCAACUUAUUCCUCUUGCAAGUGAUUCACAUGCUUUUUGUUGAUAUUUUUUCAUUUUUGGACUCUUUGAAGCAUGAGCUUUCAAAUGAGGGGACUAUUUUGCAAAAUGGUUGAAAGUUUAGUUUUUUUUCAUGAGAGUAAAUAGGUUGUUUUUUAAAAUUUUAUGGAAGAAUAUUAGUCUUGGUUGUGAAAUAAACAACUUUUGUUAAGGGAUUUCUUAUGAAAACCCUAAUUGGACCAUUUUGUAAAAAUUGGUAAAAUAGAUAGUAAUGUUGUGAAAUAUUGGAAAUUUAGGGUUUUCAUAAGAGAUAUAAAUGGUAGGUUAGGCUUGGAUGAUAAGAAAAUUCGAUAAAAAUUGAUUUUCAGACCUAGGAGUAAAAUGGUCAUUUUGCAAAAGUCUAGGGGCAAAAUGUUCAUUUUUCCCAAAUAUAGAUUUAUUGAAUGCCUAGAAUGAUAAAAUGAUUAAAGGUGUGAAUUUUGUUAUUAUAGAUCAAGAAAUUCAAAAUUCGAACUUAGAACGGGAGAAGGCUCAGCAAAUUGAUUAGACCGACUAGUCGCCAUAUUUUGUAGCCUGAGGUAAGUUGUAUGCAAAUAAUACAAAUACAUUGUCAUUAUAUGUGUUGAAUUGAUUUAGCAUGAAUUGCUUGAUUGUAGAAAUGAGAAUGUAUAAAAACAAUUGAGAUAGUAAUAUUCCUGGUUGAACCAUAAGAAAUAAAUCAGAUAUUCAUGCCAUGACAUAUGGGUUAUUGUGAGCUAGUGUAAGACCAUGUCUGGAACAUGGCAUCGACAUUGAGACGAGAGCUAGUGUAAGACAUGUCUGGGACAUGCAUCGGCCUCGAGAUGUAAGCCAGUGUAAGACAUGUCUAGGACAUGCAUCGGCUACGAGAUGGGCCAGUGUAAGACCAUGUCUGGGACAUGGCAUCGGCAUCCUACCCCAUGUUUGAGGCUUAAUAAAUAUCCGAUAGUGUUCCGAAUGGUUCAACGGUGAGAGUUAUGGUUUAAGAUCAAGAGAAAAGUAUAACCAUGUUAUGAGUAAUACAGGUACUUAUUCGUUAUAUAUAUAAGAUGAGAGUUCAAUAUAUGCUAUAUGAUGGAAAUUGGAUAGUGAUGAGUAAGUUAUCCUUAUGCCUACUUUUGUAUUAAGAGCAUGUUGUUAAAUGGUAAAGUUGUUAUAUAUUUGUAUGCUUCUUACUAAGCUUUAUGCUUACCCCCUCUCUUCUCUAUUUCCUUAUAAUGUCGCCUAAAUAGCUCGGGGAUUUAAUGGACAUCGGAGGCUACGAUCACACUAUCAUCCAGAGCACUCAGUAUAGUUAUAAUCCUUGUUUUGUGUAUGGCAUGCAUAAGACUAGACUUUAAUGUUAUGUGUCAUUGAGAAAUAGCCAAAUAUGAUGGCUUAGGAUGAAUACCUUUAAUUUUGUAUAAGGCCAUUGAUAAUGGUUAAUAUUCAUUUUGAUAUUUAUUAAUUGAAGAUGAUAUUUUCAUGGAUGAGUAAAUUGCACAAAUGAAAUGUUGUCCAUUGUAGCUAUUUUGGCUAUGUGAUUUACCCUUGUGGUGGCAUAGGGUGAUUCUAUGCAGGUUAUGUAUGUAAAGGUGACAAAGAGGCUUGGUAAAUAGCCUCAUUUUGUCUCCACGGGUAGGCACACGACUGUGUGUUUAGGCCGUGUGUGACACACGGCCCACACACGGCCUACCACAUGGACGUGUGAUCCGGUCGUGUGUCCAUUGUACUUAAAAUUUACAAGUCAGUAUGCAUGAUAGCAAACACACGGGCAGAGACACGACCUGUGUCUCAGCCGUGUGAAGGGCACGACUUAGAACACGGGCAUGUGUCUUGGUCGUGUGAGCUUUAAGAAUUGUUAACGUCAGAAACAAAAUGUCUAGGUUUUUGCACACGGGCGUGUCAUGGCCGUGUGAAGGACAAGGGCCAGGGAUACGGACGUGUAUCAGGUCGUGUAAAAACCCUUGUAGGUGUGAAUUUAGAAUUAAUUCCGCACGGGUAGAGGACAUGGGCGUGUCCCUGUAUUGCUUAGGCUGUGUGAGCUACACGGGCCAACAAUACGACCAUGUCGAAUCGGUCACACGGGCGUGUUGCCCUUCCCACACGGGCAUGUGCCAUUGUGUCUAGUAAUAUUUUUUCGAGUCAUGGAAAGAUCUGAAUCAUUCCCGAAUGGUUUUAAAUGAACGCUUGGAGCUUCGUAGGCCUUUGUUAUUGAGUUCUUGAUAAAGAUAAAAAAAUCUUAAAUUUGACCUAAUUUUGGUAACUCAAAAAUGUGAGAAUGUAUGUAUUCAAGUUGGGUAACGCCUCGUAUUUCGUCCCGGCGUGGAGUACAGGUGUAGGGUGUUACAAUACAGGUAUCCGACAUCUAUGACCAUAUAGUGCUACAUACGAGCCAUUUAAAUACUUGAUUGGAAACUAUUAUUGCAUACAAAUUCAACCAAUGGUAAAUAACGUUCCCAACAUGAUUCAAAAUUAAUGACACAAGCUCAAAGCAUAUCUUCUAAAAUUUGAAUAACUUGCUCAGAUUGUCCAUCAGUCUGCGGAUGAAAAACUAUGCUAAAGUUGAGCCGUGUACCAAGAGAAUAAUGUAACUGUCUCCAAAAUCCCGAUGUGAACCGUGGAUCUCAAUCAGAAAUUAUUAACACGGGAAUAUCAUGCAAUCUCAUAAUUUCCCGAAUAUAAAUCUCAGCAAGGUUUUAAAGUGACCAAUUAAUUCUAACUGCUAUAAAAUGAGUUGACUUUGUAAGCCGAUCAACAACUACCCAAUUAGCAUUUUUCUUACUUGCCGAUAACGGUAACCCUGUUACAAAAUCCAUCUUAAUAUAGUCUCAUUUCUAUUUAGGAAUGUUAAUAGGCUGAAGUAGUCCAGUAGGAACAUGAUGUUUUGCCUUUACUUGUUGACAAGUUAAAUAUUUAGCUACAUAUUCAACUAUAUUUCUUUUCAUAACUGGCCACCAAUAAGAUUCCCGUAGAUUACGAUACAUUUUCAUUCCACCCGAAUGCAUUGCAAAAGAACUAUCAUGUGCUUCACAAAGUAUCAACUCUUUCAGUUCAGAAACAGCUGGAACACAAAUCCGAUUAUAAAAUCUCAAACAAUCAUGUUCAUCAAUGCUAAAAUUUUCUAACAUACUAUUCUGAACCAUUCCUCUUUUCUUCAACAACUUGUCAUCUUUUAACUGUGCUAACUUGAUCUGAUCAAACAUCACUAGUUUAACUCUUAAUUCAGCCAAUAAACUUCCAUCAUCACUGAUACUGAAUUGUGCAAACAUUGCUCGUAAUUCAAUUGCUGCUUUUCUACUUAAUGCAUCAACUCUAACAUUAUCCUUUCCAGGAUGACAAUCAAUAACACAAUCAUAAUCUUUUAAAAGUUUUAUCCACUGACGUCUCAAAUUUGACUCCUUUUGAGAUAAAAGAUACUUGAUACUUUUAUGAUCGGUAUAAAUAUAGCAUUUCAAACCAUACAAAUAGUGUCUCUAGAUCUUUAAUGUAAAACUCACGACAGCUAGUUCCAGAUCGUACGUUGGAUAAUUACGUUCAUGAGGUUUUAAUUACCGAGAUGCAUAAGCAAUCACUUUUCCAUCUUGCAUCAAUACACACCCGAGACCAUUCAAAGAAGCGUCACUGUAAAUAACAAAAUCUUUUCCUGACUUUGGCAAUGUCAAAACUGGUGCCUCAGUCAACAUUCGCUUCAACUUCUCAAAACUUUCUUGGCGCUGAUUAUCCAAAACAAAUGGAACAUUCUUUUGCAACAGUUUUUGUCAUCGACAAGGCUAUCUCUGAAAAUCCAUUUACAAGUCUUCGAUAGUAACCAACCAAUCCAAGAAAACUACGUACCUCUGACACAUUUCUCAGUGCUUUCCAUUGAACAAUCACUUCAAUCUUCUUUGGAUCAACUCUAAUUCCAUCUACCGAUACCACAUGUCCUAGAAAUACAACCUCUGACAACCAGAAUUCACAUUUGCUUAACUUUUCAUAUAACUGUUUCUCCCAUAAUAUUUGUAAAACAAUUCUGAAAUGCUGUUAAUAUUCAAAUUCACACUUCGAAUAGACAAAAAUAUCAUCAAUGAAAACCACCACAAAAUGAUUCAGGUACGGUUGAAAAAUACGAUUCAUAAGAUCCAUAAAAGCAGCUGGAGCAUUAGUCAAACCAAAAGGCAUAACUAAGAAUUCAUAAUGACCAUACCUUGUACGGGAUGUUGUCUUUGGUACAUCACUUUCUUUCACCUCUAACUGGUAAUAACCCGAUCUCAAAUCAAUCUUUGAAAACAUAAAAGCUCCUUUCAACUGAUCAAAUAAAUCAUCAAUACGAGAUAGCAGGUGUUGAUUCUUGAUUUUCACCUUAUUCAAUUGCCGAUAAUCAAUACAAAACUGCAUUGAACAGUCUUUCUUUUUAACAAACAGUACUGGAGCUCCCCAAGGUGAAAUACUAGGACAUAUAAAUUCUUGAUCCAGUAAAUCCUGCAACUGUCACCACAUUAUGUGCAUCACCCUCUUCACGUGUCCGCACAACAUAUGCUUUAGCUGGUAUUCUAGCUUCUGAUUGUUGAGUAGCUACAUCACUUCAUCUUCUAGCACCACCUCUGGAAAAUGAACCACUUCUACCUAAUUCUCGACCUCUAAAAGUAGGCAUUAAUCUCUGUGAUGUAACAGGUGCAGCAUUUUCAUUUUUUGGACAAUCUCUAAUGAAAUGCUUAAUAGAUCCAUAACGGAAGCAUCAUCGAGUUAAUUUCCAACAUUCACCUCUAUGCUUCUUCCCGUAAUGUUCACAUUUUGGUAUUUCAAUAUCCCGUGAUGAACCUUGUACACCUCUAGUAGAAACUGUUAUUUGCCUUCCAUGAUCUCUAUCACCUCUAUCUGAUCUAAAACUUGAUCUCUUGUUACCAUGAGAUUCUUUAGAUCUUUUAGGUUGCGGAUUUGAACUAGUAGUUCCAGUACGUUUCCCAAUCAAACAAGUAUUUUCAGGCUUUUUGUCGAGACCCAAUACUUGCUCAACCAUCUUAGCUCUCCCAACUAAAUCUGCAAAUUCUGUAAUUCUAAGAGAUACUAGUUGCACAUGUAAUUCAUCAUAUAAACCCCGUAGAAAUCUUUUACAACUAUCAGUUUCGGUUGGUACAAAUUCAGCUGCAUAUUUACUAAGUCGUGAGAAUUCUCGUUCAUAGCCAACUACUGACAUUUCACCUUGUUUUAGCAUCAAGAAUUGCUAUUUUCUAUCUUCAAUGUAUAAUUCACCUACAUACUUCUUCAGAAAUCCUCUUUGAAAAAAAUCUUAAUUUACCUGUUUCGUCGAUACAUGUCGAGUUACUGAUUCCUACCAGACAUAAGCUUCCCCUUGAAUUAAAGAAACAACACACAAUAAACUUUUUCGGGGAGUACGUUCAAGCUGAUGUAAUUUUCUUUUUGUAGAUUCCAUCCAAUUUUCAGCAAUGGAAGGAUCAAGUCCUUUUAAAUCCAAAAAUUCAGUAGCACCAUACUUACGUAAUUCUUUAAUCAGAGCUCGUCAGGUAGUAGGGGUAAAUGUCGUAACAGUUGCAGUUUCUGCUACUCGUUGAAGAGCAUCAACUAUAAUUCUAAGUAAUUCAGAAUUAUAUCUUUUUCUAGUAUUACCUCUUUCAACACUAGGUGGUUGAUUUCUUACUAGAUUUAUACUCGAUGUUACAGACUCGGUUUUAUCCAUUUCAUAUGAUUCAUCAUCUCUAGUAUACAUUUCUUGAUCAAUAUCAACAAUAAAUUCAUCCGACAUCUUUAACUAUAAAAUAGAAACAAACAAAUAUAUCAGCAUGCAAUCCUGACUCAAUUCGACUCAAUUAUGGAAUGUACCUCUAGACUCAAUUUACGAACUCAAUUUAGUCUGAGAAUUGACUAAACCUGAAUAGCUCUGAUACCACUAAAUGUAACACCUCUUAACCUUUAUCCGUCGCCAAAACAGUGUUACAAGAUAUUAACGAAUAAUUCAGAACAAAUACGAACAAUUAUAUAAUAAUAUAACAUACAUAUCAUAAUGUCCUAACCAAUGUACUAACAUAGGUAUUUUACAAAUACUUACUAACUCAAUUUAUAUAACUUCAUUCAAACCUAACCAAAUUUAAUACUAAAUAUCAAAAUUUUCAUAUAGAAACUUCAUUCAUACUUUAAUAAAAAAUGUCAUUUUAUAACCUUAACAUAACACAGAAUCAUGUUUAAGUAUAUAAAGGGUUAAUACUAUAUUUUAACAUUUUAUACAACCAUUUUUCAAAAUAGCAUACAUAUAACAAUCUAGGUACAUGCCAUUACUAAAAAUAUAUACUUCACCACAAUAACAGCAUGUGUGGUUGAAGCUAAUGGCUAUGCCAUUACAUGCCUAUUAUAAGCCUAUUCUGCAGGCCCACAUAAACUGACGUUUGGUUCAAUGGACUACCAUAUUAUGGGUGUAUUCCAUUCCAGGCUUAAGCAGAGAUUUUUGGGGAUUUCUAUUCCCUUCCCUCUUUACCGUUUAGCCAUUCAUUGCUUGAAGAACCCUAUCUUACCCUUACCAAAUUCUCACCUAAAAAACACUCAAUCGGCAGCCAUUUCACGUACCCUUCGACUCCGGCAUUCCUCCUCUUCAUUUAAGGUCAAGUAAACAUUUUUCCUUUUGCUAUUCCUUUCAUUUUUCUGUCUUCCAUUUUUUUGUUACCCACAAAUUUUUUUUGCCUGUUUUUGUUACUGCUUCCUUCACCAUCAUCUUCUUUAAUCAUCUUAACUUGAACUUUGUCUUUUGCCUUUUCAUUUAUGUUUUAUGGUUAAACGGGUGUGUUCCUUAUAUCUAAGUCUAAUUCAUCGAAAGAAACAAUGGCAGAGCCUUGAAGAAGUACAAUAUCUCGAUGUUCUCACUAAAAUCGGUAAAAAAAUUAGCGUUUCCAAGUCCAGGCACGUCCAUUCAUUUUUGUCCAUUUCUGGAUUAUCUGUUUUUAAUCUUUCAACAUAAAGGAUUACUUUACAACCGGCUCUUUUCUUUAUUUUCUAUACUGUCUGUUGCUUACUCUUAGCAGAAGUCAUGUUUUUAUAGUUAUCAAAUUGGAAAAUAAUAAGACAACUUAAUUUAAGCUAUACUUCUUAUUUGCAGCUUCUGUAAAUUGGGUUUGUUAGAACCUUUGAGAUUAGUUAAUUUGGUUCCUUGAAAAUGGUAUAUUAUAUUUGUUGAUUUCUCCUACAUUUGAUGCUUCUUCAAUUUUGGAUGGAAUUAUAUUUAAGUAUUGUCAUUGAUGUAGAUUAUGGAGUUGUUGGUAUUCACCAUGUUGGAAUUUAUGUGAAAACCUUGAAAGAUCGCUUGAAUUUUAUCAGAAUAUUUUAGGUAUGUAAUCUUUUUUCUAUACUCAUGUUAUAGAUAUUGAUUUAUUUUUGCAAGAAAGAAAGAGAGAAACUGAGCACCUGCUUCUAAAUGUUAAAUUAGACCUUGAAAUAAAUGAGGCUAGGCCACAUGAUAAGCUUCCAUACAGAGGUGCUUGGUUGUGGAUGGGUUCUGAAAUGAUACAUUUGAUGGAACUUCCAAAUCUAGAGCCCUUAAUUAGAAGACCGAAACAUGGAGGCCAAGACUGUCAUGCUUGUAUUUCAAUUCGUGAUGUAUCUAAGCUGAAUGCAAUCCUUGACAAAGCCGGUAAAAUCCGUUUUUUCUUAUUCCAGGGUCAUCCAUGUCAAGCAAUAUCUCAUUGUUUGUUAAUAAUUUGCCUUGAUGGCAGAUUCUCAUAGAAUUCUGUAGGUUAUAAUUCGCCUUGUUUGCUUUCUCAUUGUUUUUUUCUCUGCUUAUUUUUAUUUGAAUAGUUUGUCAAGUUGUUUCUAUGCAUGCACCAAUUACAUCCUGCCUACUAUAUUGUUUAGACUCAAACUUCACUCUUUGCUCUAUUCCAGUAUUAAGGGGAAAGAAACUUUGUAAAAUUUAUUAAUUUUAUGAUAUAUGUUUCUUUUGAUUGAAUGAAUAUAGCAUUUAGGUUUCUUUUAGUAGAUGCAAACUGUAGAUGCAAAAUUGUUGUUGCUAAAUACUUUGAUGGGUGCUUCUUUAUCCAACUUAAGGAUUCACCUUAUGUUCAAUGUGUUUCUUCUCAUUGCUUUACUUUAUUAAAUGUCUAUUGGUGUUAGUUUUAUAAUGAGAGGAGAAAAAACUGACAUUACUAUUGUCACUUUCAUUUAUGGAGAAGGUUUUUGAAAGAAUGUUCCCAUGUGUGCAAAUGUUUAUUUAAAGGGGUAUAAUGCUGCUUUGAAGAAGGAAAUUCCUAUACUUUCACUUUCUUCUUGCCACUUCAAAUUGGUUGCAAAUGAUAAGGCUAUUGGGAAUGGGCUUGAAAUGCUUGAUGGUCAUAAAACUCAUAGGUCACAAAACUCACACCCAAUAUCUGGUUCAGGAACCGCAAAGUCGACAAGUCAAUGCAUAUGAACUUUCAGUUUGGUAAUUUUUUGUGUUUGUAAUAUUUGGAUGGUAUAAUGACGUGAUAGAAUGUCAUUACAAUGUUGUAAAUUUUUUAUGUUGUGGAUUAUGACAUAUAAACUAAUGAAAUCAUGUAACUUUUUGUUAAUAUAUAAAUAUUAUAAUUUUCAAGUUAUUUAUUACUUCUAAAAUUUUAUUUUUUUAUUGUAGAAUAAUUAAAUUAUUUGUUACAUUAAUGAUAUUUUAGCACAUUAAAUAUGUAUUGCAGUUUAAAAAUAAUAAAGUAGAUUAUAUAUUAUUUUUAUAGUAUUAUAUAAUAUGUUUUUUUAAUUCAUAUAAUAAUAAUUAUAUUAAGAAUUUUAUUAAAUUAUAUAUUAUUUUAUUAAAUUAUAUUUAAUAAUAAUUAAGUUAAAAUAUGGUUAAAUUAUUUAUUUUUUUAUUAAAUUAUUUUAAUAAUAAUUUUAUUAAAAUUUAAUAACAAUAACAAUAAUCAUCUACCUAAAAAAAUUCUGCUAAGGGUAUUCUGGUCAUUUUAGUUUUUUUCCUUAUGCUAUUACAGCAUCAUUCUAUUCAACUAAACACAAGAAUACUAUUACAGUUCUCUUCCAUUCCAUUCAACCAAACAAUUGAAUUACUAAUUAUAGCUCUAUUCAAUUAUAGCUUUAUUCAAUUACAGCCCUAUUCCAUUACAGUGAACCAAACGUACCCUAAGUUCAGGAUCGGCUUUGGAUGCUGAUUCAACGAUCGAACUUUAACUUAUCCUGCGUACGGAAAACAAGCCGUACGCUGAGUAUACACUCAGUGGUAUUACUAUAAUCUGAAUACUUAUUAAAUAAGAAUUUUCAAUAUUUAUAUAUCUAAACACGCAUAACAAAAAUCAUUCAACAAAUAAUCAAUUUCAUAACACAUCAUUUAUAACACUUUCAAUUCUCAUCUUUUACUAUUUUAAUCUCAUAAUUGAUAUUCAAAUAAUUUUUCUCAAUAGGAUACACAUAUCAUUUCACCAUAUCAAUAACCAUUUCAUGAACCCAUUAGUUUAUACAUUUCAAUUUCAUAACUCAAUUUAAUAUUUCAAUCCAAUUCAUGUUCAAAAUCAUCAAAUGUCAUUCAUGUUGUCAAUUUACUUAUUUACCCCUAUUAACAGGACUAGGACUUUGGCGGAUACACGGAUCCAACCAAAACACACAAGUAUGGCACCCAGUGCCUCAUUGGAUAAUUCGAAGUAAUAGAUUGACACCCAGUGUCUCAUCGGCCAUGCCGAAGUAAAUUGGUACCCAAUACCUUAUCGAAUUUAUCUGAAGCAAUAGUUUGACACUCAGUUUCUCAUCGACACGUGGUCGAAGUAAUCCCUGAACACUUCCAAUCCUAUGGCAUGCCAACUAUAUCCGACUCAGUCCGAUACAGUUAAUAGGAUUUUCAAUUCAUUUUCCAAAUACAACUAAUAUUCAAUAUUAAAUUGUCACAAAAUUCACAUAAAUCUCAAUUCAAUAUUUUCACAUUUCAACAACAAUCAAUAAUUUCAUCAAUCAUAAAUUCUUAUAAUCUCAUUUCAAUAUUAAGAUAAUAACAAACAACAUUCACCUUAAUUACUCACCAUACACAUUAAUUUAAAAUACAACAAAUAAAAAUUAUUAAAUUCGAAUUAUAGAAAUACAAACCGUAAUUUCCAAAUUACUCAUCUUUAACCUUGUCUUUUCCUUUCUUAGCCGAGGUCUCUGACUCAACGUUAGUUACGGAAUUUAAAAUAAUUUUAAAAUCAUCAAUACAACAAAUUUUAACAUUAAAUAUUUGAAUUUAUACACAACUUUUGUCUAAAUUUCAAUUUUGUCCUUAAAUUAAAUCUAACCUUGUUUUCCCUACAAUUUUAUUCUUUAUUUUCAUUCAACUACCACUUAAAACUAAAUUUAACUCUCUAAUUUUCACCAUAAAUCCCUAAUUUUGAUUUUUUUUUCAAUUUAAUCGCUACUACUUAAAACUUAUGAUUUAUUUUACAACUCAAUCAUUUUCUCAAUUUUAAGUUGAAAUUCUAUCAAUUUAACCCCUAAUUCUUCAGUUAAUUCAACAUGAACUACAUUUAAAACUCCACUAACUUUCAAAUUUUCAACAUAAAUCAAGUAGUAUUUUGUUCUAAGAUUCUAAAAAUAUCAAAAUUACAAGAAAAGGGACUAAAUUAACAUACCACUUAAGCUUGAAGCCUUAAAAACCCUAAUUUUCCUUUUUCUUUUUCUUUCCCGUUUCUUUUCCCCUGUUUCGUUUCAAUUCUGUUUCUUUCUUUCAUUCUUUUUGUUUUGUUUAUAUUAUUUAGUUAUUAUUAUAAUAAUAUAUUAUUAUCUUAUAUACUUAAAUAUUAAGUAUAUAUAUAUUAGUAUUUUAUAUAUAUGUACACUAUUUUUUCACAUGUAUUUUACACCUACCAUACACUUGUAUUCACUUUUUAUUAUACAAGUGUUACAUAUGGUUUAUUUAUUUAUUUAAUCCUUCAAAUUUUCUUUAGUCUAUAAUUCAACUUUUACUCUUUUUUCAAUCUAGUUCUUAUACCUAAUUACUCUUAAUUCAAGCUAAUUCACCUAGACAAAAUCUAAUUAACCAUACAACUAACUUCGUAAAUAUUUUUAAUAAAUAUUUACGAAUCUGUUUUACCAAAACAGUGACCAAAAAAUGCACUUUUUCAAUACCCGUAAAUUUUGGGUUGUUGCACCCUCCCGCUUUCCCCCCAAAACUUUUUCUCCCCUCCCAUCUCACCCCUCAUCUACCCCAAACCCAUUUUCUCCCCAAAUUUUACUACCCAACCCUCAAAAUUUUUUAUUUUCCCCCCAAACUCUUACUUUUCACCCUUUACCCUCAAAUUAAAAAUCAUCCAAAACAAUCCCUAAACCUAUAUAGUAAUAAUUUUAUUAUAUAUAUUAUUUAUAUUAUUAAAAGAAAUUUUAUUUUUUACUAUUUAUAAAAUUUUAUGUUGGUAUCAAUUUCACAUUUUAUCUUUAAGAUAAUUUUUAAUAAAAAACCACAUUUUUUUUAUCUUUAAUAUAUUUUUUAAUUUCAAAAUACAUAGUAACAAAAAUCAGAAGAUAAUUGAAGCAACUAAGCAAGCAAAAAAACUAACCCAUAUAUAAAAGAUUAAUAAAUAAAUUAUGAGGAGAUGAAAGUUAAUAACAAAUUUGAUUACAGUAGGUGAUAGUAGUUAAAAAGAUCCAAAGUCAUUUUUUUAAAAUUUAACUUUAACAAAUAUAUUCGAUUUGAUUCAAAUUCCAUCUCACUCGAAUCAAUUCGAAAAAAUUUCAAAUCAAAUUAAAAUGAUAAAAUAAGAUUCAUGAACUUAAAUUUUUUUUUGUUCGAUUCGAUCCAACAUCCACCCUUAAAUAAAACAUAACUCAUUCCACCACUUUAUCUAUAUAGGCCAUGGCCUGAGUGUAAAUGUUGUGUAACAUAUGGUUUUAAAUAUCCCUAUUAAUAAUGUUAAAAAUGUAAUUAUUUAAAUUAAAACUAUCCACUUUACCUAUAACUUUCUAAUUUUAUAAACAAAUUAAAUAAAAUUUUUACUUUAAAAUUUAUUGCAAAUUAUGAAAUAUCAAUAAUCCUUUGAAAGAAUUACUUUUAAAAGUAAAUAAUAUAUCUAUUCAUUGAAUUUUAAAGUUAUUUUUAAGUCACUUUAAAAUUAAUUAAUUAAUUAAUUAACUAUUUCUAUUAUCUUCAAUAAUAUUACUUAAAAAUUAAUUUUUAUCCUUACAUUUUGACCAACAUGAGAAUAAUGGAUGUAUGGAGUAUGUGUCCUCUAAAAUUGUAAAAUUUUAAUUUACAUCUUUUAUCAUUUUUAAAAUUUUAUAUUAGUAAUAGUAAAAUUACAUUUUAGUCCUCCCAAAAUAAUAAAAAUUUAAUUUAAUCCUUUAAAGUUUAUAAAGAUAUAUGCUAUUAAAAUGAUAAAAUUAUAUGUUUACUAUUAUAAAAAUAUACAAUUUAAUUCUGUCUCCCAAAAAAUUUCAGGCUGCGCCAUUGAUUUUAAACGUCAUAGAUACAAAAAUAGUAAUUAAAAAUUUGUUAGUUUCAUAUUCAUUAAUUUUUGAGGGAUAAAACAACCUUUAAUCUUUGAACUUGAUAAUUCUUUUUAUUUUAACUUUUAAAUUUUUUGGUUUGCAUUAGUCCUAAAGCUUGACAAAUUUUCUUAAUUUGGUCCCUCAACUUAAAUUCCGUAAUGCUGUGAUGAUUUAACAUUGAGAUUGUAUUAUAUCAUCCUCCAUUAAAUAAAUAAAUAAAAUUUAAAAAAUAUAAAAAAAUAUUUUUUAUAAAAAUUAGAUAAUAACAUGAUACAAUCUCAUAACAUCAAAUCAGCUAAUCUCAACAAAAUCUAAAUUCAUGAAUGAAAUUAAGAAAAAUAACUAAAUAUAUAAUUAUUUAAUAGUAAAUAACUUAUUGUUUUAAACACAUCAUUUUUUAAACGUGGAACCUUUAAAAAGAAAAAUACAUUACUUUGUAGUUUUAAUUAUUGCUACACCUAUCAUUAGUUCACCACCUUGCGACCCUACGAUUUUGUUGACUCGAAAAACCCAUGUGAGUUGACACCAUUAACUAAGGGUGGUAUCAACUUAGUUGGAUUGGAUAUUUUAAUAUUUUUUGAAUUAUCCAUUAUAAUGUAGUUAAAUUUUUAGCUUUUCAUAUUAAUUUUUAUUUUUUGAUUUAUUUUGAAAAAAUAAGUUUUAUUUUAUAAUUUUUUAAUAUUAUUUGAUAAAUUUUUUAAGGUUUUCUAUAAAUAUUUUUAAAAAUUAUUAAUUUUUCAAAAAAAUUUAAAUUAUUUUACUAUUUUAAAUAUAAAAUAUUAUCUUUAUAUUAUAUAAAAUUAAAAUUAAUUAUAUAUUAAAUAAAAAUAAAAUUCAGUUCAAUUUCUAGUAACCGUGAUUUUUAAACUUGUAUUCUAUAACUUGAUCAAACAUCUCGAUUUGGGUUGGUUUCUGACUUUUCUUGCUCGGCCCUACCAAUAGGAAAUAUGAAAAUGGCACUUUAACUCUUUUAAAUCUUAUAAAAUUAUAAGUUAAUAAACAGUUAAAUUACACUUUGGCUUAAAAUAAUAAAAAUUUAAUUUAAUUUUUUAAAAAUUAUAAUAAAUAUAAGUUAAUAUAAUUUUAAAACAUAAAAAUUCGUAACUCAAUUUCUCCCCAAAAAAUAGCUUCGCCCCUGCACUUAUUGCUCUCCGCCGAGUGAAUUAUCUUCAACUGCCAUAUCUUCUUACGUGUAUUAAUAAUUAUUAUUUAUCUUUCUCUUAGGAUUCUACUUUAAAAAAAAAAAAACAUUAGUUCUGUAAUUUAUUAACUUAAAAAAUUUUGUCUUUCGAAAAAAAUUACUUUUUUUCAGCACUCAUCUUCAUUAAAUGUUUAAUGUUCUUGUUAUACACCUACCCACAUUUAACUUGAUAGCAUGAAAUGCGAUCUAAGAAGUACUCUCGAAUGAUCCCUCAAUUAGUACCACCCAGCUCAUCAUCCUAUGACCAGCCAUCCGCACGUUUAGCAUCUCCAUUACACCACUCCUUUUUAGUGACAAAGGGAACCAUUAAGAGACUAUUGAAACAUAAUAAUCUUAUACUACUUCAGAAGGGAAUGUUAAAGCAAACCUCAUUGAUGACAACUAACUUAUAAGAUACCUACCAACCU
rnacentral:lncRNA from 1 species